rnacentral:rRNA from 1 species
UACGUAGGGUGCGAGCGUUGUCCGGAAUUAUUGGGCGUAAAGGGCUCGUAGGCGGUCUGUCGCGUCGGGAGUGAAAACUCAGGGCUUAACCCUGAGCCUGCUUCCGAUACGGGCAGACUAGAGGUAUGCAGGGGGAGAACGGAAUUCCUGGUGUAGCGGUGGAAUGCGCAGAUAUCAGGAGGAACACCGGUGGCGAAGGCGGUUCUCUGGGCAUUACCUGACGCUGAGGCGCGAAGGCUAGGGGAGCGAACGGG